rnacentral:snRNA from 1 species
AGCCGGAGGUAGGGUCCAGCGG